GAUGACCUGUCCUCAGGAUAGCGACAAAAAAAUAUAAUUGUGGAAUCGCACUCACCAGAUCUUGAGGUCAUCCGGAAUGCAACAGCCUACCUGGAGUCCAAGAUUCAUCAGGGCUCCUGCAUAUAGAAUCCAAAAAAAA